rnacentral:rRNA from 1 species
GGCGAACCGAGCGAACGUUGUUCGGAAUCACUGGGCUUAAAGGGCGCGUAGGCGGGUGCUCAAGUCCGUGGUGAAAUCCUCCGGCUCAACCGGAGAACUGCCUCGGAUACUGGGUGCCUCGAGGGUGGUAGGGGUAUGCGGAACUAUCGGUGGAGCGGUGAAAUGCGUUGAUAUCGAUAGGAACUCCGGUGGCGAAGGCGGCAUACUGGACCACCUCUGACGCUGAGGCGCGAAAGCCAGGGGAGCAAACGGG